AAGAGACGUUGCCCUUCGGGUAUACCUCCCACCCUUUGUUUAUUAUACCUUUGUUGCUUGGCGGGCCCGUCCUCGGACCACCGGCUUCUGCUGGUCAGUGCCCGCCAGAGGACCUAAAACUCUGUUUGUUAAUAUUGUCUGAGUACUAUAUAAUAGUUA
rnacentral:misc_RNA from 1 species